rnacentral:rRNA from 1 species
UACAGAGGUCCCAAGCGUUGUUCGGAUUCAUUGGGCGUAAAGGGUGCGUAGGUGGCGCCGUAAGUCAGGUGUGAAAUUUCGGAGCUUAACUCCGAAACUGCAUUUGAUACUGCGGUGCUUGAGGACUGGAGAGGAGACUGGAAUUUACGGUGUAGCAGUGAAAUGCGUAGAGAUCGUAAGGAAGACCAGUGGCGAAGGCGGGUCUCUGGACAGUUCCUGACACUGAGGCGCGAAGGCCAGGGGAGCAAACGGG